UGGCUGGCAUGGCUGCCAACCAUGAUGCCAACAGAGACCAACCUGUCUAUGAACUCUGCUAAGCUAACGGCUAGCUGCAAGCAAAUAAUCUUUAAACCGCCUCUGCAGCAAGGACUUCUUUGACGGGGACAUUGCCGGCUGUUCAUCCGAGUUUCCUGCCCUUUUUUGGAUGCCAGAGAUCAAUGCUUCACUUCAGCAAGUGUACCUGUCUGCAAUGGGGCUGCCAGUUGUCCAGCACAGAAAUACCAAAUCCGACAGGUUAUUUGCCACAAUAAGUAGGCCUACACUCACAUGGAAUUUGCCUUGGUCAAUGGUGCAUUAACAA